GGACAUAAAGGGGAUCUAGCUAUAGCUUCUGUCACUCAGUUGAUCACCAGGGUUGAGUUGGCUGAUUUGCCUGGCUAGGCUGGUGUUCCUUAUUCUCUCACUACUCUGUGUGUGUCCUUCCAGAAACUGCAGGUUCCUCUGAAGAUGACAACAUUCCCUGAUAAGGAGUACCAUUCUUCCAUCAAGGCAUAUGAGAAGCUGGGUUUCUCUGCUAGAACCUUCAAAGAAGUUCUCAUGGUCCACUGUCUUCCUAAUAUUGUCAUAGGCUUGUGAUGACAAAUCUUUGAUUUGGAUCCAAACUAUCAAACUAU
rnacentral:snRNA from 1 species